AAUAGAUACCCUGGUAGUCCACGCCGUAAACGAUGAGUGCUAAGUGUUAGGGGGUUUCCGCCCCUUAGUGCUGCAGCUAACGCAUUAAGCACUCCGCCUGGGGAGUACGGUCGCAAGACUGAAACUCAAAGGAAUUGACGGGGGCCCGCACAAGCGGUGGAGCAUGUGGUUUAAUUCAAAGCAACGCGAAGAACCUUACCAGGUCUUGACAUCCCAUUGACCACUAUGGAGACAUAGUUUUCCCUUCGGGGACAACGGUGACAGGUGGUGCAUGGUUGUCGUCAGCUCGUGUCGUGAGAUGUUGGGUUAAGUCCCGCAACGAGCGCAACCCUUGUUCUUAGUUGCCAUCAUUUAGUUGGGCACUCUAAGGAGACUGCCGGUGACAAACCGGAGGAAGGUGGGGAUGACGUCAAAUCAUCAUGCCCCUUAUGACCUGGGCUACACACGUGCUACAAUGGACGGUACAAACGGUUGCCAACCCGCGAGGGGGAGCUAAUCCGAUAAAACCGUUCUCAGUUCGGAUUGUAGGCUGCAACUCGCCUACA
rnacentral:rRNA from 1 species